CCUACGGGAGGCAGCAGUGAGGAAUAUUGGUCAAUGGGCGGAAGCCUGAACCAGCCAAGUAGCGUGAAGGAUGACGGCCCUAUGGGUUGUAAACUGCUUUUAUACGGGAAUAACGGGCCAUACGUGUGGGGCUUUGUAUGUCCCGUAUGAAUAAGAACCGGCUAAUUCCGUGCCAGCAGCCGCGUUAAUCCGGAGGGUGCGGCGGUUAUCGGGUUUUAUUGGGUUUAAAGGGACCGUAGGCGGAUGAUCAAGGGAGUGGUAAAAUGUUGGGGAUAACCCCCGCCUUGCAGUGGAAACUGGCGUGCUUGAGUAGGCGAAAAGUAGGCGGAAUGCGUGGUGUAGCGGUGAAAUGCUUAGAUAUCACGAAGAACUCCGAUUGCGAAGGCAGCUUGCUGGAGCGAAACUGACGCUGAGGCUCGAAAGCGCGGGUAUCGAACAGGAUUAGAUACCCCAGUAGUC
rnacentral:rRNA from 1 species